rnacentral:misc_RNA from 1 species
UAAUAAGUGUUUUAUGGCACUUUUUAAAUCCAUAUCCACCUUGUGUGCAAUGUCAGUCGUUCUCUUUUUUGAGAGCGACCAAACAUCAACUUAUUCUUUAACUCUUUGUCUGAAAAAUAUUAUGAAUAAAAUAAUUCAAAAUA